rnacentral:rRNA from 1 species
UUGCUGGUGGAUUAGUGGCGAACGGGUGAGUAACACGUGAGUAACCUGCCCUUGACUCUGGGAUAAGCCUGGGAAACUGGGUCUAAUACCGGAUAUGACUGAUCAUCGCAUGGUGGUUGGUGGAAAGCUUUUGUGGUUUUGGAUGGACUCGCGGCCUAUCAGCUUGUUGGUGGGGUAAUGGCCUACCAAGGCGACGACGGGUAGCCGGCCUGAGAGGGUGACCGGCCACACUGGGACUGAGACACGGCCCAGACUCCUACGGGAGGCAGCAGUGGGGAAUAUUGCACAAUGGGCGCAAGCCUGAUGCAGCGACGCCGCGUGAGGGAUGACGGCCUUCGGGUUGUAAACCUCUUUCAGUAGGGAAGAAGCGAAAGUGACGGUACCUGCAGAAGAAGCGCCGGCUAACUACGUGCCAGCAGCCGCGGUAAUACGUAGGGCGCAAGCGUUAUCCGGAAUUAUUGGGCGUAAAGAGCUCGUAGGCGGUUUGUCGCGUCUGCCGUGAAAGUCCGGGGCUCAACUCCGGAUCUGCGGUGGGUACGGGCAGACUAGAGUGAUGUAGGGGAGACUGGAAUUCCUGGUGUAGCGGUGAAAUGCGCAGAUAUCAGGAGGAACACCGAUGGCGAAGGCAGGUCUCUGGGCAUUAACUGACGCUGAGGAGCGAAAGCAUGGGGAGCGAACAGGAUUAGAUACCCUGGUAGUCCAUGCCGUAAACGUUGGGCACUAGGUGUGGGGGACAUUCCACGUUUUCCGCGCCGUAGCUAACGCAUUAAGUGCCCCGCCUGGGGAGUACGGCCGCAAGGCUAAAACUCAAAGGAAUUGACGGGGGCCCGCACAAGCGGCGGAGCAUGCGGAUUAAUUCGAUGCAACGCGAAGAACCUUACCAAGGCUUGACAUGAACCGGAAAGACCUGGAAACAGGUCCCCCACUUGUGGUCGGUUUACAGGUGGUGCAUGGUUGUCGUCAGCUCGUGUCGUGAGAUGUUGGGUUAAGUCCCGCAACGAGCGCAACCCUCGUUCUAUGUUGCCAGCACGUGAUGGUGGGGACUCAUAGGAGACUGCCGGGGUCAACUCGGAGGAAGGUGGGGACGACGUCAAAUCAUCAUGCCCCUUAUGUCUUGGGCUUCACGCAUGCUACAAUGGCCGGUACAAAGGGUUGCGAUACUGUGAGGUGGAGCUAAUCCCAAAAAGCCGGUCUCAGUUCGGAUUGGGGUCUGCAACUCGACCCCAUGAAGUCGGAGUCGCUAGUAAUCGCAGAUCAGCAACGCUGCGGUGAAUACGUUCCCGGGCCUUGUACACACCGCCCGUCAAGUCACGAAAGUUGGUAACACCCGAAGCC